CUCUUUCUUUUUAAACAGGAAGAAGAGAGUUCAUCCAAAGAUUAAAACUUGAAGCAACCUUGAAUGUGCAUGAUGGCUGUGUUAAUACAAUCUGUUGGAAUGAGACUGGAGAAUAUAUCUUAUCUGGCUCAGAUGACACCAAAUUAGUAAUUAGCAAUCCUUACAGCAGAAAGGUUUUAACAACAAUUCGUUCAGGGCACCGAGCAAAUAUAUUUAGUGCAAAGUUCUUACCAUGUACAAAUGAUAAGCAGAUUGUAUCGUGCUCUGGAGAUGGAGUAAUAUUUUAUACCAAUGUUGAGCAAGAUGCAGAAACCAACAGGCAAUGCCAAUUUACGUGCCAUUACGGAACUACC